rnacentral:rRNA from 1 species
UCCAGACUCCUACGGGAGGCAGCAGUGGGGGAUAUUGCACAAUGGGGGAAACCCUGAUGCAGCGACGCCGCGUGGGUGAAGAAGCGCCUCGGCGCGUAAAGCCCUGUCAGCAGGGAAGAAAAUGACGGUACCUGAAGAAGAAGCCCCGGCUAACUACGUGCCAGCAGCCGCGGUAAUACGUAGGGGGCAAGCGUUAUCCGGAUUUACUGGGUGUAAAGGGGGCGCAGACGGCGAUGCAAGCCAGGAGUGAAAGCCCGGGGCCCAACCCCGGGACUGCUCUUGGAACUGCGUGGCUAGAGUGCCGGAGAGGUAAGCGGAAUUCCUAGUGUAGCGGUGAAAUGCGUAGAUAUUAGGAGGAACACCAGUGGCGAAGGCGGCUUACUGGACGGCAACUGACGCUGAGGCUCGAAAGCGUGGGGAGCAAACAGGAUUAGAUACCCCGGUACAU